AUAAUUUCAAUUUGUUAGCAUGUUAAAUUAUAUUUACAAUUCUUACUAAAGUCAGACCAUACCAACAGAAGUGCCUUUCCAAUUCAAAUGAUUGCAAUUUCCAAUUAAAUUGGGUUUUGCAGUAAUGAUAAAGAAAUCACAACGUCAAUCAUUGCUUGUAUGUGGAUUGAAUCUGGAGAGUCCAUGGUUUUCUCAUGGACAAUUAUGUUGCAUGCUCCAGGAUGGGGAUUUGUUGGUUUAGCAAUAGCAAUAUGUGUACAUAAAAUAGUGUUAAAUAACACUUUUUUAUUAUCCCCCUGGGCAACGUUGGGUUAUAAAGAUAGUCAUUUAUAUAUUUGAAUAUCUUUUUAGUUGUUCCACCUUGAAAAAAUACUUAAAUAGUUACAACAAAAAUUUUUAUACACUAACCAGGAAAUUGAACUGAAUAACUUCAAUCAAUGUUUGUUUGCUUGCAAUUUAAUUUUUUAUAAAUUUAUUUUAUAAUUAAGCCAUUUGACAGCUAAUGAGCUUUUCAAUCAAAAUGUUCAUAGUGUUUCAAGGUAGUAACUAUUUAUUUUAUACUUUUUUUCAUUAUUAUUUCUUCUAAAUCUAGAUGGACUUCAACACAAAAUUCUAAUAAGACAAUUCCAGGAGAAAAGCAGAAAAAAGUAACUUCUUUAAUUAAAAAAUUAAAUAAAUUAAAAAGUCACUAAAAUGUAUUUCUAGUGUGCAGAGAAUAUACAGAAUCUAUAUAUAAGACUACUGUUAUAAAUAUUGGAAUGGAAACAUUUACUAAACGGACGAGCACAUUGUUAGGUUGGCCCUUGGAAAACAAUUAACUACUACUUAUUAUGCUAACAUUUUAUUAUCUUUAAAGAAAUUACAUAAAUGAAUUUGUACCUUGUCGAUUAUACAAUAAGGAUAUAAGGAGCUUCCUAUCAAGUGCAGGUUCCAAGAUUACCCAUAAACUUACAGUAAGGUCAUGGUUCCUAUCUACAGGUGCUACAGUUCCCCAAAACUAUUCUACGAAUAUAGGAUUGCAUAGACUACUCAGCCUGAGAGGGACAAAACACAAGACAUUCACCCAGUAUCAGCAAGACGGCCGCGAUCAUCUUCUUUCCAGCGUUAGAACAAGACUGACUCAACGUACAUCGCGCGAAAUGGGAUCCGUCUGUCUCACAUUUCUUCCCUUCCAGUUUAUACACUUUUUCUACAAUUUUAAAUUAAACUAAAACUAAUUGUCUCUCCUACACUACACACAUGUCGAAUGAUUAGCCCUGUUUUCAUCAUUGGUGGCUCCAAGGCUCAACCAGAAGAAUUUCCACAUAUGGCAUUAAUUGGUCAUAGAGAUCACCUGGUGCUAUGGAUUUGUGGUGGUUCAUUAAUCAGUGCUAGUUGGGUCCUGAGUGCAGCGCACUGUACAGCCUCACUGGUGUAAGUGUAACACAUUGACAUACAUUAUGGACAUUUGACUAAUUUACCUUUUAAACUUCCCAUGGUUUCAACUUAUACCAUGAAAUUGACCAUUCAUGUAUGUGAGAUGUUUGCUACAAGAAGUAAUCAGAGUACGAGGGUUUUACUCACACCUGUAAGGGGCCAAGGCAUAGCAAUGAGAGAUAAGCGGGUUUUGCACAAAAACUGAUAUCCGGGUGUCAAUCAAGUAUGCCUUAUCUUCAAACAGGUUUGCGCAAACUUCCUUGUGUUUCAUACUACUUAUACUGGAGGGCCAUUGAUCAGUCAGGUUGGUUAGGGGUUCUUGAAAUACACUGACACUACCAAUAUUUAUUUAGUUUACUACCAGUUACUAUUCGUUCAGGGUCACUGAGCAAUGGUUCAGCCUGGAGAGCAAGACGUUUCAGCUUUCAUCACGUUGUCUGCAUAUGAAUAUGAAGCCAAGGAAUUGCACCCUCUCUAUGUACUGUACCAGUUCACCCCCCCCCCCCAAAAAAAAAAAAAACAGACUUGAGGUGUGGGUAAUGGGGAAAGGAGAAGGUAAAACUGGCUUCCUCAGCAAUUGCAGUAACAAUUUAAUAAUAAUAAAUUAAUCAAAAAGAAAAAGAAACAAAAAAUGGAGUGGACCUCAUUAAAAAAGAGGAUUUUUGUAAGAGCAAAUAUGAAUCGGCUAGUUACAACUUGUUGGCUUGAUUCCUAAAGGCAUCAAUGAAACCUCAAUGCUUUGUGCAUGGACUGAAAACAAGGAUACAUGUCAGUUUUUAGAGAAUGUUUAGGCUAACAUGGUUUGAAAAUUUUUCCGAUCUGUUGGUUCAGUUAUUAAGUUUUGGUACAAUGGAAGGGUCAGAAUUAAGGAUUAAUUGAACCGAGCUAUUAUCAGAGGAAAAAUCAAAAGAAUUUGAAAUAUCCAGAUGGGUUGAAGAGAUUCUGAUUGUUAUAAAAUCAUCUAAUAUAUCAAAAAGUUUAUGAGCAGAUGUUGGACAAUAUGGUGAGUUUGGAGGUGUUAUAAUGGUGUAAGUGGUACACCCAUGGUAAUUUGCAGAGUGGUUCUAUUUACAAUGCAUACAUAUAGCGGGUUCCUCUUGUGAUCUGAUACAAUCUUCUGUCAAGUGAGACCUGCUGGUGCACUUCACGCAUCAUGGAAAAUAGUUGCAGUACAAUUUGGUAAGAAUAUAAAGAAAAGAACAGGAGAAGAUUAGUUUUUAAGUGAGGUUUUCUCAUUGGUGACGAGCCUAACAUUAUACCCGAGGUUCUCCAGUUCUUCUUUAUGCUGCGGGUGUAGAAUAAUGAAAGUGAUGAAUAAAAACCCUAAAAGCCUUAUCUUCUUGAAGCUGACAGGGUGAUUCAGGUAGACCACUCCAGAUAGUGCUCACGGAACUCCAUUGCAUGAACAGUGUCAUUGGCAUUACAUCAUUUGGAGAUGACUGUGGAAAAAGGAAACCAGGAGUGUACACAAGAGUAUCUAAUUACAUUGAAUGGAUUGAAAAUAUUGUUUGGCCAUAAUGCAUUUAUUUUUUUAAAUAAGGCAGCUUAUUUUCUAAUACAAUUA